GCGAGACCUUCGGGUCUAGCGGCGGACGGGUUAGUAACGCGUGGGAAUAUACCCAAAGGUACGGAAUAGCCCCGGGAAGCUGGGAGUAAUACCGUAUGUGCCCUACGGGGGAAAGAUUUAUCGCCUUUGGAUUAGCCCGCGUUAGAUUAGGUAGUUGGUGGGGUAAUGGCCUACCAAGCCUACGAUCUAUAGCUGGUUUGAGAGGAUGAUCAGCAACACUGGGACUGAGACACGGCCCAGACUCCUACGGGAGGCAGCAGUGGGGAAUCUUGGACAAUGGGCGCAAGCCUGAUCCAGCCAUGCCGCGUGAGUGACGAAGGCCUUAGGGUCGUAAAGCUCUUUCGCCAGGGAAGAUAAUGACGGUACCUGGUAAAGAAACCCCGGCUAACUCCGUGCCAGCAGCCGCGGUAAUACGGAGGGGGUUAGCGUUGUUCGGAAUUACUGGGCGUAAAGCGCACGUAGGCGGAUCAGUCAGUCAGAGGUGAAAUCCCAGGGCUCAACCCUGGAACUGCCUUUGAUACUGCUAGUCUUGAGUUCGAGAGAGGUGAGUGGAAUUCCGAGUGUAGAGGUGAAAUUCGUAGAUAUUCGGAGGAACACCAGUGGCGAAGGCG
rnacentral:rRNA from 1 species